UUCAUGCUUUGGUCAGAACAGACAAGUUAUACAGUUGAGUUGUGCAAAGGAUGGGCCCAUUUGAGACUUUGAACUAUUUGUCAGGGGCAAAAGUGAUGGGUGAAUAAUUUGGCAAAAGGGGAUAAGGAGAAGGGGUGUGAUUGGCUGCACCAUAAGAAACCAAAGUGGAAAUGCUUUGCAUUCAGGAAGCAAAGCAGUGGAGGACCAUGUUUCUUACAUGUGAGGAUUGUCCCUCUUCCAUGUGCAUUUAUUGAGUCCUCUUUUAGCUCAUGUCUACUUAAGCAAGCAUUUCAUCUUGUUUUGAUCUUAUAAAGUGCUUUAUGUAAAUUCUC
rnacentral:lncRNA from 1 species